UGUCUCGUCAAUAUUACUGACACCUAGCGACUAUUGUAAUAUACUACUCUACUGUACCUUUUGUAGUUAAAGAGAGACUCACGAUGCAUUCAAAUUGCUUCAUUUACAAGCAGAUAACACAUAUCAGUGAACAUACACAUACACACAGGAGCUGCUGUCGGCCACUCUCCACACUGCUAACUUAUUGCUAAUUAAGGCUCAGCUAUCGUCAACUCUAGCAAGCUGAUGUCACACACAUCAUUUCCUAGGUCCUGUUUCUUAAAGGCACAAACAAGUCACAGAUUCCCAUGUAAAAAAUCGAUUUGGAAAAAUUUUGGAGAAAAGGUGACGCAGAAGAGGGGAAAAUAUCAGAGGUGGUAGUGAGGAGCACACACUGGGGGAAGAUGAUGAAAUGAAGAUGACAGAAAGGUGACAGGAAUAACCGAAAGCCCACGCUCGACUUUCACAGUCUAACGUUAUGAUUCACAUAACAAAACUCCAAUGCUCCAAAAAAAAAAAAUCUGUGUCCAGCACCGACCGGACUGGGGGAGAUGAGAGAAGGCGUGUACUAGUAAGGGAGGGAUAUAGCGCUAUUCCCUGGGUAACGGGCCUUGGCGAAGGAACUGAGAGGUGUUUUGGCUUGUGUUGCAUUCGGGGAGAGUGCAGUUCUCCCAGAAGGAGGCUAUAAAAAGACAAAGGAGACAGGAGGCCAUGUGGAGAGACUGUUGAAAGGGAGCAAAAACACCCACUCCUAAAAUCCCACCACAGCCACCAUCACACCACCACUGGGAAGGACACACAUAUCAA